AGGGCACCACCAGGAGUGGAGCCUGCGGCUUAAUUUGACUCAACACGGGAAAACUCACCCGGCCCGGACACUGGAAGGAUUGACAGAUUGAGAGCUCUUUCUUGAUUCAGUGGGUGGUGGUGCAUGGCCGUUCUUAGUUGGUGGAGUGAUUUGUCUGGUUAAUUCCGAUAACGAACGAGACUCUAGCCUACUAAAUAGAUCGUCGGCUUACAAACGCCGGCGAGACUUCUUAGAGGGACAGGCGGUGAUUCAACCGCACGAAACAGAGCAAUAACAGGUCUGUGAUGCCCUUAGAUGUCCGGGGCCGCACGCGCGCUACACUGAAGUGAUCAGCGUGCUUUUUCAACCUACUCUGUCAAGAGUGGGGAACCCAAUGAACCUUCUUCGUGAUUGGAUAGGGGAUUGUAAUUAUUCCCCUUGAACGAGGAAUUCCCAGUAAGCGCGAGUCAUAAGCUCGCGUUGAUUACGUCCCUGCCCUUUGUACACACCGCCCGUCGCUACUACCGAUUGAAUGUUUUA
rnacentral:rRNA from 1 species